GAAAAAGGAUCAUCAAAAGGUACAUAAAUAUUUGUAUUUAAUCGAACCCUUUACCUAUUUUUUCGUUUUUCAAUAUUUUAAAUGUGAUUUUCUUGAUAGAAACCAGGAUAUUGAAUGUGGGAUUUGUUUGUUUUAUCAUUAUAUUUUAGUUUCCUAUUGAUACGAAAUUUUGAUGUGAUGUCAAUCAUUCUCUUUUGAUUAAAACUAUUUUCCGUUUUUGAAUUGAUUUCUCAUGUUAAAUGCUUUUCUUAGACGCCUAUCUAUUCAACUUUUUGAUUUUUCAAAAAGUAGAAACUGAAAAUUCUUAGCACUUUCUUUUUCUCCUUUCUGAUAAGUUAAUAUAAUGCAAAAUGGUAUUCAUUUUCGAAUUCAAAGAAAAUCCAUCAUUUCUGAUAUAUUUCUGCAUUUUAAUUGCAGUAGGUUUUCCGUCGACCGUGAGUUGUGCGUAUCGACCCGUGAAGUACUGUAACCAACGCGUUAACCAUCUCGCCUAGAGACCUUUGAAGCUUAAGAGUUUAGAUCGAGAUUGUGGAUUUCUUUCGGUAAAUGCGUAAGAAAAUUCGAAUAAUCAAGCCAUCAAGAUCGAAAUAUACUUCAAGUCAAUCGGGAUUAAGAUCGACUCACUACAAAAAAAGCGCGGCAUCUAUCGUUUAAAUGAGCAUGGAAUAGCCCGAAUGGAGCCUCGCAUUGCUGAAAGGUUUGAUUAAUCUUCAAGUUCAGUGCUUAAACAGCAUCAUGAAGGUAAGAACAGCAAAACGUCCUAGUAUCCUUAACAAGAGUGGCGCCCAUUUUGUUGAAUUAAGGAAAUCAGAUAGUUUUGGAUCAUCGUCGAAAGAACACGGGAAAAGAAUGUUCCGGUAUUUUACGUUGGAAUCGCUGUUGCUGCUCGUCUGCAUCACGGCAUCGUUACUGAUCUUGCCGCUCGUACUUCCGCCAUUGCCGCCUCCACCCUUUAUGCUGCUUCUGGUUCCUAUUUGUCUCCUUGUACUUCUUAUCGUAUUGGCUUUCAUGCCUAGUAAUUUCCAGAAUGUGACCUAUUCAUGAGUAUAACUGGGAUGGAAACUGCCAUCUAACACAUAUAUAGCAAAGUUCAUUGAUUUCUUAUUGAAAUACACUUAAUCUUCAUGAUCUAAAUAAGCAAAUCACAGUUUGAAAUAGCUUUUUGUCCAUCUUUUGAUUAUAUGUUGCAAGUAAUGGACGAUUAUUGUUUCAUCAUGCUGUGCUUUUCCCAUCUCUGGCUCAUCAAAUCCAAAGGAUUUACCAGGCAAAAGUGAUGAAACACCUCAUCUUACAGAAUGCAAGGC
rnacentral:lncRNA from 1 species